AUGCGGAAUGGACUACUCGAACGUGUCAUUCGGAUACCGGACGAAGAAGAUAUUAAUAAAUUUGUUUGAAGGGUAGAAUUAUCUUUUUGUCAAAGCACCAUAUGGCGGCCAUAUCUGAAUCGUUGGGACCGAGUAGAUAAACUUGAUUUCCUUUCUUUUCUUAUUCAUUCUUCUUCUUCAUUUUUUCUUUACUCUGUUUCUUCUCUUCCCAUGUUCUUUCUCUUCCGUCUCUUCUGCGUGUGAUUGAGAAAAUAAAUGGAGGCUCUGUGAUCAAGAUAAGGUGGAGAAGAUCAUGCAGUAGUCGCUUGUGAUGGUUUUGAGGUCUGUUGUUGAUUCGGAAUCAAAGAGGAAGCAAAUUAAGAUUAGGGUUUUUGAGAUUUUGUUUUGAAUUUGUGUAGAGUUAAUUAGUAAUUGAAUUGUUAACAGUUAAAUAACGAAGGGGUUGAUGUUUAAUUGAAGUUGUAGUGUCGUUUUGGUGAUUGAAUCAAGAGCUAGGGUUUCAUAAGAAAUUCAAAGAAGAACCAGGUGACGAAGUGGUUGGAUUAGGGGAUUUAAUUAAAGGAUGGGUCUGUUCUUAAUUGGUGUUUGAUAGAAGUUGUGGAGUUGUUCUGAAGUUUUAUUAAGAAAUUGCAGAAUUAGGGUUUUGUUCUUGAGGAUGUUGCUUAAGGAAGAAUUAGAAUAUGGGUUUGCUCGAUCAAGAGAUUUGAAUUGAUGUUCAGAACUCGAAUUAGGAAAAUAGAAUUUGGGGGAUUACUUUAGGGUUUCUGAGAAACAGUAAAGGUGAUGGGAAGCUGAUAGAUGCUGGUUGAAGAAGAGGUGGUGAAUCAGCUCAAGGAAAAGAAGAAAGUAAGUCAAUUGCUGCAAUAGAACUAUCUUGAGGUAAUUACUCUCUCAGUAACUCAGUAAAGUUAUUAAUUUCAAUUAAAGAAUUUAUAAGUUAUGGAUGUGGAUGAAUAUAUGAUGAAAUUGAAGUAUAUAUGAAUGUUUAGUGUUCUGCAAGAAGAAAUACCACUACAGAUUGUCAUAAUGUGAAACUGUGUUGAAUCUGGUAGAUGGUUGUUAUCUGAGUUACAAUUUAACUGAGCCGUGUAGUGGUUUAAAUUGAGUUCUUAAGUGGAGUGAUAAAUGUUAUUGAGAUUGUGAAUUUCAGAUGUUGAUGCUACUGCAAUGGUUGGUUAGGGAUAGAUGAAUGUUAUUACAGUAAAGAUUGAAUAUAACUGAUGUUGUUUGUGGUAAUGGGUUUGUUUGUGUUGAGAUGGAAUUACUGGUAAAUCCAAGAUGGGAUGAGUUUAGAUGAAUGUUAGGCAGGGAAGAAUAUCCGAAGACGUAUAACUGGUGGUGAAGGCAUUAGUUGAAGUUGCAACUGCAGAAUUGAAGUAGAGUAGUAUUGUUAUGCGGAAUUGGAGCAGUUAUGGAGUUAUAUGAUUUAAGUCUAGUGGAGGUGUUAUAUUCAGAAUGAUAAUGACUUAGGAUUGCAGAGGUGUUGAAAUUGAUUGACAUGAAUCAGAUGUAUGGGUUAGGUAUGAGUUGCGCAAGUGAAAUGGAGAUGAGGUUUGGUAGUGGCUUUGCAGGUGACUUGGUUUGGUUAGUUGAAGUGAUUUGGUUGAGUAAAGAUUGAGGAAUGAAGUGUUUCUUAGAACUCCAAUUGCAGUUAGUUAUUAACAACGAUCAAUUCAAAGGAUGAACCAGUGGAUCGUGGAUCUCGAGGUAGGCGUGGCUUGUCAUCAAUAGAGGUGGAAAUUUAUAUUUAACUCUAUUGUAAUUAUUGUUGUUUUCCUUUACAAAAGUUUAUGUUUAACAAAUUCAUGCAUUGUCUGGUUGUGCUUUCCAUGCAUUUGUUUAACUUUGAAUUACGAAAGUUCUGUUAUUUC